CAUUUCUUCAUCGGAUUGCAUCCUUCUCAGUUAGCUAAUUAAUUUCCGAGUUUCUUAGCAACCAGUCUACAAAAGAUCCAAGACACGACUUAUUCCAAGAGCAUCGAAACAAAACUUAACGGGGCUACUCCAGAUCAGUUUUACCAAAUCUUCCGGGAUCAGGCAAGCCUCUUACGUGGUAUCUGCAGUGAUAUUGUGAACGACAUUCAACUUGCUGACGGUACCAAAACCUGGAAGGCUGCUCCUGGCAACCGCAAGUGGAUUCAUUACAGCGUCGCUCCCUCUGGUAAUAUCAUGAAAGUCAAGGAUGAAGUGGACGCCGUAGACGACCCCACAAAAACCAUCAGCUUCAAAGUAUUGACAGGAGCGAUCCGGGACAACAUCAUCGGGUUCAAAUUAGAGGUUUCCGAUAACAACAUUGCAAGAUGGACUGUCGCUUAUACAAACGCAGCUCCUGAUGAUUACCUCAACCUUUUGGAAUCUAUCAGCAAGACUGUUGAUAAUUACUAUGCUCAGCAAAAUUAGCUAGCAUAGGAGAACAUGCAUGCAUGCGCUUUCAAAUAUAUAGCCUUAUUAGUAUUUGUGUUGAGAAAUAAAACUUUCAAAGGUGCAUACGUACAUGCAUGUUCCCAUCAGCUCAUUAAAAUGUACUGCGUCUUGUCUAGCUACCAUAUUCACUGAGAUGGCAAGGUUGGCUCCUGAUGUGCUUACCUUUCAAUAGAUGGUGCAGCAUGAAAGGGCAAUGCCUUCAUGAUCAUGUGGGUAUUUAUGUAAUAAAGGUAGCCACCCCUCUAUGUAUCUUGUUUGUGUCGAUGAGAAUUAAUAAUAUGUGUGCCUUAAUUACCUAAAA